AACGAACGCUGGCGGCGUGGAUAAGACAUGCAAGUCGAACGGGACAGACCGAGUAGCAAUAUUUGGAAUGUUCAGUGGCGAACGGGUGCGUAACACGUGGAUAACAUUCCGGAAAGCGGGGAAUAGCCCAGGGAAACUUGGAUUAAUACCGCAUGUGGCCGCAAGGCUAAAGACGGGGACCGCAAGGCCUGUCACUUUCCGAUUGGUCCGCCGCCUAUCAGCUAGUUGGCGGGGUAAUGGCCCACCAAGGCUACGACGGGUAGCUGGUCUUAGAGGACGACCAGCCACACUGGAACUGAGACACGGUCCAGACACCUACGGGUAGCAGCAGUCGAGAAUCUUUCACAAUGGGGGCAACCCUGAUGGAGCGACGCCGCGUGGAGGAUAAGGUCUUCGGAUUGUAAACUCCUGUCAUGCGAGAACAAGGUACUCAGGCUAAUAACCUGAUUGUUUGAUGGUACCGCAAGAGGAAGAGACGGCUAACUCUGUGCCAGCCGCCGCGGUAAAAC
rnacentral:rRNA from 1 species